AGAGUUUGAUCAUGGCUCAGAACGAACGCUGGCGGCAGGCUUAACACAUGCAAGUCGAACGCCCUCUUUUGAGGGAGUGGCAGACGGGUGAGUAACGCGUGGGAAUCUACCUAGUGGUAAGGAACAACACAGAGAAAUUUGUGCUAAUACCUUAUACGCCCUCCGGGGGAAAGAUUUAUCGCCAUUAGAUGGGCCCGCGUUUGAUUAGCUAGUUGGUGAGGUAAUGGCUCACCAAGGCGACGAUCAAUAGCUGGUCUGAGAGGAUGAUCAGCCACACUGGGACUGAGACACGGCCCAGACUCCUACGGGAGGCAGCAGUGGGGAAUAUUGGACAAUGGGCGCAAGCCUGAUCCAGCCAUGCCGCGUGUGUGAUGAAGGCCUUAGGGUUGUAAAGCACUUUCAACGGUGAAGAUAAUGACGGUAACCGUAGAAGA
rnacentral:rRNA from 1 species